rnacentral:rRNA from 1 species
GAUGAACGCUGGCGGCGUGCCUAAUACAUGCAAGUCGAGCGAACGGACGAGAAGCUUGCUUCUCUGAUGUUAGCGGCGGACGGGUUAGUAACACGUUGAUAACCUACCUAUAAGACUGUGAUAACUUCGGGAAACCGGAGCUAAUACCGGAUAAUAUUUUGAACCGCAUGGUUCAAAAGUGAAAGACGGUCUUGCUGUCACUUAUAGAUGGAUCCGCGCUGCAUUAGCUAGUUGGUAAGGUAACGGCUUACCAAGGCAACGAUGCAUAGCCGACCUGAGAGGGUGAUCGGCCACACUGGAACUGAGACACGGUCCAGACUCCUACGGGAGGCAGCAGUAGGGAAUCUUCCGCAAUGGGCGAAAGCAUGACGGAGCAACGCCGCGUGAGUGAUGAAGGUCUUCGGAUCGUAAAACUCUGUUAUUAGGGAAGAACAUAUGUGUAAGUAACUGUGCACAUCUUGACGGUAACUAAUCAGAAAGCAACGGCUAACUACGUG